rnacentral:rRNA from 1 species
CGGCGUUCAACUGGCGUGCCCGCGGGACGUCCUGCCGGUGAGCUCAGCCCGCGAGGGCGGCUCAACUUGAAAUCCCAUCGCGGUGCUCUUCAUUGAGUGUCGAGGUGGGCCGGCACGAUUACUUUUGAACAAAUUAGAGUGCUUAAAGCAGGCUAAAAUUUUGCCUGAAUACUGUGUAUAUGGAAUAAUGGAAUAGGACCUCGGUUCUAUUUUGUUGGUUUUCGGAACCCCGAGGUAAUGAUUAAUAGGAACGGAUGGGGGCAUUCGUAUUGCGACGUUAGAGGUGAAAUUCUUGGAUCGUCGCGAGACGGACUAAAGCGAAAGCAUUUGCCAAAAACGCUUUCAUUGAUCAAGAACGAAAGUUAGAGGUUCGAAGGCGAUCAGAUACCGCCCUAGUUCUAACCAUAAACUAUGCCAGCUAGCGAUCCGCCGACGUCCCUCUGAUGACUCGGCGGGCAGCUUCCGGGAAACCAAAGCUUUUGGGUUCCGGGGGAAGUAUGGUUGCAAAGCUGAAACUUAAAGGAAUUGACGGAAGGGCACCACCAGGAGUGGAGCCUGCGGCUUAAUUUGACUCAACACGGGAAACCUCACUAGGCCCAGACACUGGAAGGAUUGACAGAUUGAGAGCUCUUUCUUGAUUCAGUGGGUGGUGGUGCAUGGCCGUUCUUAGUCGGUGGAGCGAUUUGUCAGGUUAAUUCCGAUAACGGACGAGACUCUGACCUGAUAACUAGACGCACUUGCGGCAUCUCAAAGGUCCGCCGGCGGCUGGCUUUGCGCCCGUCGUCGCGCGCGAUUUUUACUGCCGGCGUACAAUAAAUUCUUCUAGAGGGACAAGUGG